AAAUCAAACACAAAAAACUUUUAAGUAUUUAUAAACACUUGUCCAAAAAUUCUAGUUCAAGGUCAAAGCGCGUGAAAUUAAAUUCAACGAUGCAAAUAGGCUAUACUGCAUUCAAGUUAGGGUCGAAAGUUGAAACUUCUUUCCUUAAUUGUAUCCUACUGAUACGCUAAGAAUAAUCUACAGACAUAUGGACUUAAAUAUAAGGUUUACAAUUGUAUGGAUAAUGCCUGUUUCUGUUUCAUUCAUCACAUGAUAUCCCUAUCGUGCGCUCACUCACUCUGGCCGAUUCGAUACGAACCAAACGAAUAUUGCUGAUAUUAACGAAUCGGUAUGAUAUGCCGUUGCGCAUCACAUCGAGCAAUAUCGUGUAUCGGCUGAUAUCGAAAUAUAGAUUUCGAUUCACGAAUCGGUCCGAUAUGGCGAUGCGCAUCACAUCGAGCAAUAUCGUGUAUCGGCUGAUAUCGAUAUAUAGAUUUCGUGCGGGGCGAUAUCGGAUUCAACGAUAUUGCUGCGAUAUAUAGAUAUUGAAUCUAUAUACGAUUUAUAUCACCCACUCCUACAAUACACACAAAACAUUUAAGCUUAAAAUUAACAUGUAUCAAAUUAAGUACUGAUACAGUAGGCGCACGAGUUCAUGUUCAUCCUGAGGAAUGCGGUAGUGCUGUGACCUAGUUAAUUAUGGUAAUGUCGAUAAUAACUACCGAUUUAGUCAACAGCUGUCAAUUUGGUUUAAUGUAACUAAGUCAUUUUGCAAAUUAUAAAAUAAAUGUGAUAAGUAAUUCCUUAUUUAUUUCUAAUAGAGAAAUGUUAGCAGUACGACAUAAAAAAAAUAUUGAAAAGAACAUGAAAACAAGAGUUAACUACAUAACAUUCUCUCAUCAAUUAUAAACAAAGCAACUUGGAUACUCAAAGAAAUCGUUCAAAAAGAGGAAAAAAUACUCCCGAGCGUAGUUUUACUAAAUUAACGAGAGCAAAAUAUAUUUAAAUAGAAGACGAUGAUGACAUUGGAGGCGUGGCCUAAGUGACGUCAACGAUGGUGUGCUGUCCGGAAGGCGCGUGGCGUGAUGUUGGAGCGCGUAGCGUGAUGUUGGAGCUCGUGGCGUGAUGUUGGGGCGCGUUGGCACAAGAUUUUUUGGGAAACCAGGAUACUCAGAUGUCAGAGGGUGUACUGAUAGUGCACAUGGAACAAUCAAAAGAUCAAUGCUACAUAAAGAACAUUUAUCCCUACUAUAGAAAACAAUAUUGCAAUAAUUGAUUUGUAAUUCUGAUAUGAAGAUAUUUAGUGAGUAAAUACUUAAAAGCAGGAUGGCAACCGAGGACAUAUUGUAAGAAGACCAACUAUAACCAUCCCCUCCCAACACUGAAGAUUGAUCAACAACCCAACAUUAACGGACUGCUAGAAGUUCCCAAAUAUUGUACUGUAACAAGGUUUUACUAGAAGAUGACAACUUAUUGAUCAUGUGCACAAUAAACAGCGUUUAUCCUGAAA